rnacentral:rRNA from 1 species
AGUGAACGCUGGCGGUAGGCCUAACACAUGCAAGUCGAACGGCAGCACAGUAAGAGCUUGCUCUUACGGGUGGCGAGUGGCGGACGGGUGAUGAAUACAUCGGAAUCUACUUUUUCGUGGGUGAUAACGUAGGGAAACUUACGCUAAUACCGCAUACGACCUACGGGUGAAAGCAGCGGAUCUUCGGACCUUGCGCGAUUGAAUGAGCCGAUGUCGGAUUAGCUAGUUGGCGGGGUAAAGGCCCACCAAGGCGACGAUCCGUAGCUGGUCUGAGAGGAUGAUCAGCCACACUGGAACUGAGACACGGUCCAGACUCCUACGGGAGGCAGCAGUGGGGAAUAUUGGACAAUGGGCGAAAGCCUGAUCCAGCCAUACCGCGUGGGUGAAGAAGGCCUUCGGGUUGUAAAGCCCUUUUGUUGGGAAAGAAAAGCAGCAGGUUAAUACCCCGCUGUUCUGACGGUACCCAAAGAAUAAGCACCGGCUAACUUCGUG